rnacentral:rRNA from 1 species
GCGGUUCUAUGCUUAUUGCACCACAUGUGUUUUUCUUUGAAACAAACUUGCUUUGGCGGUGGGCCCAGCCUGCCGCCAGAGGUCUAAACUUACAACCAAUUUUUUAUCAACUUGUCACACCAGAUUAUUACUAAUAGUCAAAACUUUCAACAACGGAUCUCUUGGUUCUCGCAUCGAUGAAGAACGCAGCGAAAUGCGAUACGUAAUAUGAAUUGCAGAUAUUCGUGAAUCAUCGAAUCUUUGAACGCACAUUGCGCCCUCUGGUAUUCCGGAGGGCAUGCCUGUUUGAGCGUCGUUUCUCCCUCAAACCGCUGGGUUUGGUGUUGAGCAAUACGACUUGGGUUUGCUUGAAAGACGGUAGUGGUAAGGCGGGAUCGCUUUGACAAUGGCUUAGGUCUAACCAAAAACAUUGCUUGCGGCGGUAACGUCUACCACGUAUAUCUUCAAACUUUGACCUCAAAUCAGGUAGGACUACCCGCUGAACUUAAGCAUAUCAAUAAGGCGGAGGAA